UUAACACAUGCAAGUCGCAGGGCAGGCCGGGGCAACCCGGCCGAGACUGGCGCACGGGUGAGUAACACGUAGGCAACCUGCCAUCGGGAGGGGGACAACACGGCGAAAGCCGUGCUAAUACCGCAUAAUGCAGCGGGGUCGCAUGACCACAGUUGUUAAAGGGGAAACCUGCCUGAUGAUGGGCCUGCGUCGCAUUAGCUAGUUGGUGGGGUAACGGCCCACCAAGGCGAUGAUGCGUAGCUGGUCUGAGAGGAUGAUCAGCCACACGGGGACUGAGACACGGCCCCGACUCCUACGGGAGGCAGCAGUGAGGAAUCUUGCGCAAUGGACGAAAGUCUGACGCAGCCACGCCGCGUGCAGGACGAAGGCCCUACGGGUCGUAAACUGCUUUUGUCAGGGAAGAAACCGCGGGGUUCGCCCCGCGCUGACGGUACCUGUCGAAUAAGCACCGGCUAACUCC
rnacentral:rRNA from 1 species